UGAACAGGAAUGGUCCCCUGUCUUAGAAGAUGGGCAACAGAUGUAAGAAAGCUCGAAGGAAGUGACACCUGAACAGGGUUUUGGACAGAGGGUGAGGAGGAGCAAGUGAGAUGAAGCUGCCUAAGCCAGCUCCAUCUGUUAGUAACUAAGACAAGUAUGUGACAGAAAUGGAUCUCUAAUCAUAGAAGGAUGGGAAUAUCAAACACACAGGGAUCCAAAUUAGGACCCUGAAUUGCAUGUGUCAGAACUCCUCAGUGUUCUUCGAUCUCUGACAGUUCCAUAGUCUUUCCCCCUCAUGACCGUGGCACUUCUGAAGUCAUACUGUAGAAUGCCCCCUGAGUUAAACUUGUCUUCUGCUUUCACAUGAUCAGGCUAAGGCUAUGGAUUUGGGGGAAGAAUAUUGCAGGGGUCAUGUGCCCUCCUCAUUAAAGCAU